GUAUUUCUGAUGGUGGUUUCAAAACUGGUCACAUGAGAAGGGAAUCAUGGCUGCUCUGGGUCCGGAAAUGUUUGCACCGCUCCAGAUCUUGCUAAAAGCUUCAUCAAAAGAUGUGGUUCGGCAGUUAUGUCAAGAAUGUUUUUCGCAUUCAGCAAGUGGCUCAGACAAACUGGUUGAGAGCAUCUGCUCCAGUCUUUCAGUUGCACCAAAUGAAGCAAACCAGUUAAUUCAUUCCUUGCACAACCUUACGAGAUACAUAGUGUACCAUGGCCUGAUGUCUCCAGAAGAAAUUCUUUCUCUUUUUCCAGAAGGAUUUCACCAGAACCUUAAAAACCUCUUGACAAAGAUAAUCCUGGAAAAUAUCUCUUCCUGGAGAAAUGAAGCCCAAGGUAGUCAGAUUUCUCUGCCUCGGCUUGUGGAUAUGGAUUGGAGAGUGGACAUCAAGACCUCCUCGGACAGUAUCAGCAGAAUGGCUGUCCCUACCUGCCUGUUACAGCUGAAGAUUCAGGAAGAUGCUGCUUUGUGUGGGAAUGACUUCUCAACUUCUACUUUAACAGUGGAAUUGAACAAACAAACAUUGGACACUAUGCUGGAUGGCCUAGGAAGGAUUCGGGACCAGCUUUCUGCAAUAGCAAAUAAAUAAUCCUGUGGCUCAAGAAUGGCAGCAGCCAUUCAUAUGCAGAAAGGGACUUUCCUGUCAUGCCAAUUUGGACUACCCAAGGUGUUGGGCACCUUUCUGUCUACAGUCAUCACUGGAUUACUGAUGAUGUCCAUUUAUCACCUUGUCCUUUCUACUCAAAAUGCCUCUUUCAUCACAUAUUUCUGAAUUUUGCCAUUUCUAGCAUUCAAGCUGUAUCAUGACAAGUAAGUAUCUCUUUUAACUGUGCAAAGUCAAUGUCUCUCCUUAUGGCCACAAUGAGAAUGUUAUCUUCCCUACUACAAGAAAUGCCUCAUCCUUCCUAUCCAGCCACAUCACAUUACAAAGGAAUGGGAAGUGGGUAGUAUUUGUAGUGCAUUUAGGAACAUAAGAAGCUUUAUGUAGAAAAUGGAGCAAGUUUGUUUUCUGUUGCUUCAGAGACUAGAAAACAAAGCAAUAGGUUCAGAUUACAAGAAAGAUUCCACCUAAAUAUUAGGAAGAACUUAACUUCUUAACUGUAAGAACUUUUCAGCAAUGGAAUAGACUGUCUUGGAGGAUUGUGGACUUCUGCGGAGGUUCAUAAAAAAAAGUUGAAUGGCCAUCUCUCAGAAGCCCUCUAGUUGUGCAUUCCUCCCAUGGCACAGAAAGUGGCCCUUGUAGCCCUUUCAACUCUAUGGACCUUAUCACACAAGGCACUUACCACUGCCCAAAUGUUGCAGAAGCGCCGGAGGUGGGAUCAUCUGCCGCAUUUCUGAAACGUAAUUGAGGCUUCCCGCUUUCCAUCGACGAUGCUUCCCCACAAACACUUCAUUUUAGAAGCGCAACGGAUGAUCCCACCUCUGGCCCUUCUGCAACGUUUGGGCGACAUUUGGGCAGUGGUAAGUGCCUUGUGUGAUAAGGUCCUAUGAUUCUUUUCCCCUGCAUCACCCUAACAAAGCUACCCUAAUUUUUUCUAUAAAGUUACAUACUUGUUUGUUUAAAGAUAUUUAUGCAGUUGCAAAAAAAUGUGAAUAAAAGUACAGAAAAGUGAAAGAAUUGUACAUGAUGAACUAAAAAUAAUACUUUGAUUUGGCAUGUUGCUGUAGUGUAAGUGGUAUGCCGAUCUACACUAAAUCACAGUAUAAGGAUGAUAAUGUGUGACAUACAUACAACUCCUUUAAGAGUGUUCAAAUAACAUGGCAUACACUAUAUAUAAUAAUAAUAUAAUAAUAAUUUUUUUUGUUUCCCCGCCUCUCCCAUUGGAUCGAAGUGGGGUUACAGACUAUAAAACCAUUACAGAACUAUUAUAAAAUAUAAAACAGUACAAAAAUACAAUCUCUAUUAAAACACACUCCUAUCAUAUAGCAUACAUAUUCAGGGUAAGGCAGAGGACCAAAUGACCAGCGUAAAUAUCUUUAUUCUUCAGGGAGGAAAGCUUGACAAAAGAGAAUGGUUUUUAAUCUCUUUUUAAAUGCAUCCAAGGGGAUCACAAGACGGAGCUCCUCGGGAAGACUUACAACAGCCCUCUCACUCUUAUUAGUCCUGUGUUUUUAUAGGCAGAAGCAGGGGCCAUGGGAAACAGUGACAUACAGUAUCUGUGGUCACCUAAGCCACGAGUUUUUGACAAACUACAAGGGGGUGAUGAAAAGUUCUUGGCCUGACCAAGAAGGGAAUGAUCUAGAGCCAUGAUACUUAAUGUGAUAUUCCACAUAUUCACCCCCAAAUUUGAAUCACUUGGCAUGUUAUUUGUCAAGUUUCUUUAACACCGCUGCCCCCAAAUUCUGAUGUCUGGUCACUGAAAUACUGUUUUGCUACUGCCAUCUUCUGAAUCAUUCAAAAAUUUCCUUCCUUUCAAAUUUGUUAAGGUUCAGAAACAAGAAAUAAUCAGAUGGAGCAAGAUCUGGUGAGUAGGGUGGAUAUCUAUGCACUCAAACCCUAAAUUCUUCAAAAACAACUAUUGUCAUGCCAGUCCUGUGAGCAGUGAACUGUCCUGCAAAAAGAGAACACCUUUCCACAGCUUCCCUUUUUCCUUCGAUGCCUUCUUUAAUUAGCACAGCAGGUUACAGUAGUA